UCUUCGCUAGUAUAUCGGUUAGUAUAAUCGCCUCUCAAACGAGAGUUCCUGGCUUCCAGUGAUCGCGAUAGAGCAGGGUUCGACUCCCUGGCGGAGAA